UUAGUAAUAUGGGGUGGAUCCUUAUCUAUUUAUGAUAGACCCACACCCAACUGCUCAAAAUCACUCGUUAUCGCAAACCCGACUACAUCGAGUUUUCACUUGUGAGCUCCUGUAAAAAUGAUUUGCCUCAUCUUUUUAAUUUUCA
rnacentral:pre_miRNA from 1 species